rnacentral:rRNA from 1 species
GAUGAACGCUGGCGGCGUGCCUAAUACAUGCAAGUCGAGCGAACGGACGAGAAGCUUGCUUCUCUGAUGUUAGCGGCGGACGGGUGAGUAACACGUGGAUAACCUACCUAUAAGACUGGGAUAACUUCGGGAAACCGGAGCUAAUACCGGAUGAUAUUUUGAACCGCAUGGUUCAAAAGUGAAAGACGGUCUUGCUGUCACUUAUAGAUGGAUCCGCGCUGCAUUAGCUAGUUGGUAAGGUAACGGCUUACCAAGGCAACGAUGCAUAGCCGACCUGAGAGGGUGAUCGGCCACACUGGAACUGAGACACGGUCCAGACUCCUACGGGAGGCAGCAGUAGGGAAUCUUCGGCAAUGGGCGAAAGCCUGACGGAGCAACGCCGCGUGAGUGAUGAAGGUCUUCGGAUCGUAAAACUCUGUUAUUAGGGAAGAACAUAUGUGUAAGUAACUGUGCACAUCUUGACGGUACCUAAUCAGAAAGCCACGGCUAACUACGUG